GAGUUUGAUCCUGGCUCAGAUGAACGCUGGCGCGUGCUAACACACGCAAGUCGACGAAGUCGCUUUUCCGGAACGUCUCGGAGGAAGGGAAGUGACUGAGUGGCGACGGUGAGUAACGCUGGGCAACCUGCCCAUACAGGGGAUACAGCCGAAACGGCUGCUAAUACCGCAUAAGCGCACGGGACCGCAUGGUUCUGUAGUGAAAACAAUAGUGGUAUGGAGGGGCCCGCGUCUGAUUAGCCAGUUGCGGGGUAGAGGCCCACCAAAGCGACGAUCAGUAGCCGGCCUGAGAGGCGGACGGCCACAUUGGGACUGAGACACGGCCCAAACUCCUACGGGAGGCAGCAGUGGGGGAUAUUGCACAAUGGGGGAAACCCUGAUGCAGCGACGCCGCGUGGACGAAGAAGUAUUUCGGUAUGUAAAGUCCUAUCAGCAGGGAAGAAGAAAUGACGGUACCUGACUAAGAAGCCCCGGCUAACUACGUG
rnacentral:rRNA from 1 species